UACGUAGGGUGCAGGCGUUAAUCGGAAUUACUGGGCGUAAAGCGUACGCAGGCGGUCUUUUAAGUCAGAUGUGAAAUCCCCGGGCUUAACCUGGGAACUGCGUUUGAAACUGGAAGGCUUGAGUGUGGCAGAGGGGGGUGGAAUUCCACGUGUAGCAGUGAAAUGCGUAGAUAUGUGGAGGAACACCGAUGGCGAAGGCAGCCCCCUGGGCUAACACUGACGCUCAUGCACGAAAGCGUGGGGAGCAAACAGG
rnacentral:rRNA from 1 species